rnacentral:misc_RNA from 1 species
UCUCCGUAGGUGAACCUGCGGAGGGAUCAUUACAGAGUUUUUGCCCGCAAGGGUAGAUCUCCCACCCUAUGUUAUUCCUUCUCUGUUGCUUUGGCGGGCCGUCCGGCCUCGGUCAGGCCACCGGCUCCGGCUGGUGCGCGCCCGCCAGAGGACCCCAAACCCUAAAUGUCAGUGUCGUCUGAGUACUAUAUAAUAGUUAAAACUUUCAACAACGGAUCUCUCGGUUCUG